rnacentral:lncRNA from 1 species
AUUUACACAAUGGAGUACUACUCAGCUAUUAAAAGCCAUGAAUUCAUGAAAUUCUUAGGCAAAUGGAUGGAACUAGAGGAAGUCAUCCUGAGUGAGGUAACCCAAUUACAAAAGGAUGUACUCACUGAUAAGAGGAUAUUAGCCAAGAACUUCAGACUACCCAAGAUACAAUACAGAGGAAAAAAGAAAAAAGAAAAAAAAAAGGAAACAUUAUUUGAGUUAAACAUUUAUUUUGCAAACAAAGCAGAACAAACGUAAGGGGAAAUUUCAGGGCAUUGCUUAAAGGAACUCAAGGACCCGUUAUGAGUAAGUAUGUAGUGAGCAGCUUAUUGGUAGGGCAGGAUGAGUUCAUUUAUUUCCCAAACCAAGGCCCCAAGGCAUUUGUACUCUAUUGAGGCUGAGCUCUUUGAGGACUGAGGGACCACUCCAUAGUGUGCAUGUGUGGGAAAGAGCUCUGGCACACAACCCCUCUUAAAUCUGCUUCUUAAAUUGUCUUACAAAAUAGUCAUUUACCAUAGUACUGCCUCAUAUAUCCUUAAUUUGUUCUCCCUUAGGCCUAUUACCCACAUCUCUUCUUUAACAUUAUAUCUGAAUAUGUUCCACAGAACGUACACAUAUACUGACUGUUCUAUCAUGUCAUUGCGUUCUAUUAUCUCAUCUAAUUUCAUUUAAAAAUCUUAUUUUUUUCGAGUUUUCAUAAUUUAUUUUGAUUACACUAAUUCCCCCAGAUCUUACUAGAAACAACCCCCUCUUUCCUACCCACUCAGAUUUGUGUCUUCUUAAAAACAAAUCAAGACCAAUUUGAGUUGCCCAAAUAUCAUGUGUGGUCUUACCCUGGAGAGUGGUAGACUUACCAGAACCUAAACUCAUAGAGAAAACUGUCUUUCUUCCCAACAGUUACAGUUGCCAAAAACUCAUUGGCUGUGGGAAGAGUUUCAUGCCCAACUACCCCAUCCCAUGCUAGGAUAUGGUUUGGCUUGGGCUUGCACUAUAAUUACAUUUUUUUAAAACUAGGGUUGCAAGAUCAUAUGUUUCUAUAUAGCUACUUACACACCCUUCAUGUGGGUUAAGCCUUCCACAUCUCUUAGUUUCCCUAUCCACCACCUCCUUUCCAUGUUUGAACCUACAACUCCAUCUCCAGAUAUUUUUUUCUAUCCGUUAACCAGUUUAUGUCAUAUUUCAUCAUUUUGUUGCAACUUAUACCUGUAAUGUUGCUACUGUUAUGAAUCUUAGUGUAAAUAUCCAUGUUUUCUGACCAUCAUAGACACUCCCUGGGAAAGUGCCUUUCCACCCCCAAAGAGGGGUGAAAAGCACUGUGAUAGGCUGUAGGCUGUCAGAGUUCCAUUUUCACCGUUUAUGCGUAUCCUCUACUAAACAACAUUAAGUUUAUAAUUCAUUGUGUGAAUUUUAUUAUGUAUUUAGAACUAUGACUCCUGUGCAAAUGUAUAAUUAUUUCAGAAACGUUUUGGGUUGUCUUUUCUUCACUAAAUUAUCUUUGUUCUUUUGUGCAAAUGUAUUUGUUCAAAUAUUUCCUCCCCAAGUUGAAGAGUACAAUGACCAUGUUAUAGUAAUAUAAUGUAAUAUAUUGACACUUGUGAACUUUUACAUUUUAUAAUUAUUUUUUUCUCUAUUUUUUUUUUUUUUAAUUUCAGGAAGCUUUUUUUUUUGUUUUGUGUUCAAGCUCAUUUUCAUCAUCAUUGUAAUAACCCACUAACUGCUUAAUUUAAUAUAUUUUCAAAUGACUUCUGGUAACUUUUAACCAAUUUCACUAACAUUGCGUCUUCCUUGUAUCUUCUCUAUUUAUAGUGGAAGAGAGUCAUAGUUAAAUUAAUCAUUCUAGGUACAGAAUCUUUAUACCUGUGCAUUUGCUAAUUUCCUGUUGAUAUCAUAAAACACUGUGGGCCAGAAUAACUAAGGGAAAGUAAAAUUAAUUUUGACUUACAGUUCCAAAGACGAGUUCAGAACGAUAUCAAGCAGAAAGCUGAGGGUUCUCUUCUUUAUCCCCAAAACAAACAGAGGAAACCCUGGAAGUGGACUGAUGCUCUAGUCUCUCACUGGAAGUGGAUUGAUGCUCUAGUCUCUCACUGGAAGUGGACUGAUGCUCUAGUCUCUCACUGGAAGUGGACUGAUGCUCUAGUCUCUCAAAACCUGCAACCAAUGAUUUGCAUCCCUUUGCAAGGUGUACCUCCCAAACAGUGUCCACCGAGCGCUUCCACUUGAGCACCCAUUUCUCAAAUACCUGCACCUAUGGGGAACUUUUCUCAUUCAAUCCACUACCUCUAACAUCUACCAAAACACUGAACUGAUUUCACUUGAUCAUCCUUUUCUGUCAGAAGUAUAUUGUGCUGUAGGAUGUAUUCAUUUUCCUUAGACAUUUACCAUUUUUAAUUUUAGUUUUUAUUGUUGGAUAGUUCUGUAUUACAAUUACUUAGCUUUUCAACGAGACAUCAUCGGUUUAUCAAGAAACAGGUUUUCCUUGGGGGCUUUUGUUCUUUAGAUUUACUUCUUUUGGAUAAGCAUAGUACUUAAUCAAGGUCUGAUUAUUGCUCUCAACUUGGACGAUAUCCCUGUGUGCAUCCAGCCCACCAGGACUCUUGAGUUUUUCUAAUUUAGUUAAUGAAGCUAUUUUGUUGUUGUUGCUGUUGUUUUAAAAUAUAUUCUUCUCACAUGCAAUACAGCCUGGUCAUAGUUUUCCCUGCCUCCACUCCUCCCAGCACCCACGCCCAGUUUCCCUCUUCCCUGGAUCCAUUCUUCUUCUGUCUCUCUUCAGAAAAGAUCGGGCCUUCAAGAAAUAACAACCAGAUAGGACAAAACAAAAUACAAUAAGGCAAUGUUAACUCCUACACCAAAGCUGGACAAGGCAACAUAAUAGGAAGAAAUGAGUUCAAAGAGCAGGCAAAAGAGCAAGCUUUUAUUUUAAUACCAAAAAUUUUAAAACAUCCUCCGACCUCGAUGCUUCUAAUAAUCAAGGCAUUUUCCCUAUGGUUGUCUUGUGCGUGAGUUGACUAAUAUUCUGAUGAUAUCUAAAUAAACAUCUUUUGCAGAUAUUAUAUUUUUUCUAUUUAUAAUCAUCUCAUUUUGCUUCUAGUAUAUGGUCUCUGUCAAUUUUUUAAGCUCUACUUAGGUUUCUUGGCCCUGUGUUACAGACAGAAUACUAUCUGAGCUCUAAAAUGUUAUGUAUGAGGUCUUUUCAUUGCCAUUUACACUGUUUUGAGGUACAUUGUUAUUAGUUUUAUGAUGUUCAGGUAGUGAAAAUUGUGUUUAAUAUAGUUUUUGUAUUCUGUUUUUUUUUUUUAUUAUUUCCAACAUGAUGUUUAAUCCUGUUACUGUUACUUCAUCUUAGAUGGUUAGUUUUGAUACGCACAGUAGCUCUUAAACUUAUUUAUAAUUUGUGAUGAAAAAAUUAAUGACCUAUAAACUAAAAAAAGCAUGCUACAGAUAAUCUUUCAGGGCAUUAAACUAUAUGGGGUUUAUCAACAAACCAUGUGUUGUGGCACCUGUCUCUAAUUCAAGCAUUCAGGAGGCAAUAGUAUAAGAUUGAGGUUAGUGUAAGCGAUAUGACUCCAUCCUGUUUUGGAAAAAAAAAAAAACAUAUACACACCACAAAAACUUAAAAAAUUGUCAAAAAAUUCCAAGUAAAUUCUGACUGUGAGAGUUUAAUAGAAUUUACUAAGGGUUCAGCACACUGAAAGUGAGGCUGUUGAUAAAUUACUUUGGCACUGGGAUAUUUCGGUGCAGUCUUUUAAAUGGCAAACCAUAUUUUCUAAAGGUAUGUUUUAUAAAAUGAUAAAUCAGUCUGGUAAGAAUGCAACACAAGAUAAUAUGUUCAAGAAAUAUUUAAAUCCCCAACUCCGGAAAUUUUAAGUUUAUAUUUCCAUACACAGGUAACAAUAAACGUUAACAUUUGGGAAUGUUUUCAAGCAGUGAUGUAAGCCAUUUUCAAAUAAAUACCAUGAGGAAGACAAGACAAGAAAAAAAGUAUGAGGCUAGUGUAUAAUAUAAAGACUACUUUUCCGUGUAAAACUAAGAGUUGGUACAGGAGACGAAGACAAAGGAAUGAGGGAAAAAUCGUGGCAUAGUGUAAAUUAGCAAUAGUUAAGGCUGUGGUAUGCAUUAAUGAGAAAAAGACACCUCUAAUGUCAUUAAAUUUUUGAUGAAAACAAUGCUGAAACUGACAAUUGUAAAUGAAACACCCAGAGAUCUCAGUUUAAAAGAAAAUAAAUGAACCAAAAGAGAUCUGCAAUAUAGUAACAGUAAUUGAAAAGAUAAGAAGUUUGC